rnacentral:rRNA from 1 species
GACGAACGCUGGCGGCGUGCCUAACACAUGCAAGUCGAGCGAGUGAAUCUCCUUCGGGAGUGAAACUAGUGGCGGACGGGUGAGUAACACGUGGGUAACCUGCCUCAUAGAGGGGAAUAGCCUUUCGAAAGGAAGAUUAAUACCGCAUAAGAUUGUAGUACCGCAUGGUGCAGCAAUUAAAGGAGUAAUCCGCUAUGAGAUGGACCCGCGUCGCAUUAGCUAGUUGGUGAGGUAACGGCUCACCAAGGCGACGAUGCGUAGCCGACCUGAGAGGGUGAUCGGCCACAUUGGGACUGAGACACGGCCCAGACUCCUACGGGAGGCAGCAGUGGGGAAUAUUGCACAAUGGGGGAAACCCUGAUGCAGCAACGCCGCGUGAGUGAUGACGGUCUUCGGAUUGUAAAGCUCUGUCUUCAGGGACGAUAAUGACGGUACCUGAGGAGGAAGCCACGGCUAACUACGUGCCAGCCGCCGCCGUAA